UGGCCUAUUGACAUCUGCGACUUCUAUGCUU
rnacentral:piRNA from 1 species